rnacentral:rRNA from 1 species
AGGGAAUAUUGGACAAUGGACGAAAGUCUGAUCCAGCCAUGCCGCGUGCAGGAUGACGGCCCUAUGGGUUGUAAACUGCUUUUAUAUAGGAAGAAACCUUUCCACGUGUGGAAAGCUGACGGUACUAUACGAAUAAGGACCGGCUAACUCCGUGCCAGCAGCCGCGGUAAUACGGAGGGUCCAAGCGUUGUCCGGAUUUAUUGGGUUUAAAGGGUACGCAGGCGGGACUUUAAGUCAGUGGUGAAAGCCUCCAGCUUAACUGGAGAAUUGCCAUUGAAACUGAAGUUCUUGAGUAUGGAUGAGGUGGUUGGAAUAUAACAUGUAGCGGUGAAAUGCAUAGAUAUGUUAUA